ensembl:lncRNA LINC01287 long intergenic non-protein coding RNA 1287
ACCCACUCCUCACCCAGCAUCCAUAAAAGCAUGCUGCACCUUUGGCACAGCGCGACUUCCCUGGCCCUCCCCCUGCGGACCAGUGAACCUCGCCCGAGGGCUCAAUAAAGAAGAUUUUUGCCCUCUUUUUCUCACCUCUCAGCCUUAUUGAUCCAUGGUGCCCUUCCAUUGCCUUUCAUUGGUGCCGAAACCCGGGAGGGGACACCUCCUAAGCCCCCCCAGAGGCUCAGGGGGACUCCCCUCCUGGUCGGAUCAGUCCUCUCCCUCAGUCAGGUCAGGCUUCUCCUCCACGGCCAUCUGUCCAUUUCGUCCGGUUACUUGCUGCCAGGUCGCAGUUGCUGCAGCUACUCCAGUCCAAUUCGGCCGACGCUAGGAAAAUGGGAUGUCAUCAAAGCCCUUUGAGAAAAGGAGGGAUGUGAUCAGAUUUGUAAUUUUCAAAGAUUUCCUGAGGUGCUGUGAAUUUUACAGAUCAACUGAGAUGCAAAACCCAUGUUCACAUCAUGAGUGAGUCUUCUAACUCGGACAAUGCAAUCAACAAAUUCUAAGACCAAAUUCCGGUGGCACUGGCUCCAAAGCUCCUGAGUGUGGAAGGAGGUGAACAGGGAAAAGCAGAGAGGACAAAAGUCACAUCCCCUCCCCACAGACCCAUACUGGGGAAGGGUGGAAGAUUUAGCUGCGAGUCAAGUUCAGAAUUUUGAUUAACAUCUUGGCAUGCACAUUCGAAUUUCAGAAUCAAGACUGUUGGCCAUAAAAAAUGACUAUAGCCUUGUGUAUUACCUGAACUGAGCAGUAAAAAAAAAGUCAUGGUCCUUCUGGGGCUUUUAUUCUGAGACAGGAACCCUGAACAGGCAGGAGAAAGGGAAUGUUGACAGAGAAACAAAGACAGUUGGCGACACACGCUGACCGCCAUGCGGACGUCCAUCAAACCCAGCACUGGCCCUGGGUACGUGCGCCUUUGCUAUUACCCCAAUACAUUUUCUUCUGCAGAGCAAGCAACAGAACACAUGCAGACCUUAAUAAAUACCACUGGGUAAUGUGACAAUGGCCAAACUCUCCUCACGGGGGAGAGAGUGUCCCCCAGUUUUGCUCCCUUUUAAUUUCCAGGGUUCAUAAGUAGCUCUAAAGCUUUGCUCUACAAGGUUGAUACAUACGAUAUUAAUGUUUCCCCUAAGCAGUAUAACAUAAAUAUAUUUGCUAUCUUGACAUUCUGGGUUUGGUUUUUCAGUGUUGGCGUAAGUGGGUUUUAUACUUUCUGGAACAAGAGUUCAUCACCAAAGGGAAAAUGCUGUCCACCCCACCCUCUUUGAAAGAAAAGGCUCAGCCCAUAGUUCUCCAGAUGAAAGAAAUGUACCUAAUCAGCUAUUUCCUGUUGCUUGAUUGGAUGUUAACAAUGGAGAUAGACACACAGCUAAUUGUGGUGGCACAGCAGGAAGCCUAAUUCACUUUGCUGUAGAAAUGCCCACACAGAGAAAGUGGGAGAUGGCUGCACAAGAGGCCCCAUAGGCAGGCAAAUGCUUACUGCAGUUUCUUUCCCAAACAUUUCCAAAUAGACCAAAUAAACAUGAAUUUGCUCACUGUAGUUUAUAUUCCAAAUAAAAAUGAAUUUCUGGCCA